UAGUAAUGGAAAAAUAGUGUUUAAAAUAUGAUUUUAUGUUUUUAAUGAGAUUAAAGAGAGAGAAACUUGAGUAGUCAAGUAUUGGACCCAAAUGUCAUAUAAUUUUAAUUGGGGAUUUUUAUAAAAAUUAAGAAAGUUUUGCUAAAGGGCUUAUUUGAAAAGAAUUUUAGUAUUUUGGGUCCAAGUGUAAUUUUAAAAAUAAUAAAAAAAAAAAAAGAAAGAAAAGAAAAGGCUUCAGCCUUUCUUUUUUUACCCGAGUCUCUCUCUCUCUCCUCAGAAAACCUCUCUCUCUCUCUCUCUCUCUCUCUCCUCUGCGUAUUACUGUUGCCGACGACGCAGGAGUACUUUCCGGCCACCAUUUUUAGCCACGCGCCGGACCGUUGGAUUCAGAGGCCUCCGAACUAUCGACCCACGCGGGAAUCUAGAGUUCACUCGCCGAUUAAACGCCUCAACCACUCGAUUUAAGUUCGGCCACCCCGCGACUUCAAAGUUGCGAUUCGGCCACCUCGGGCAUCCGUUUGCCGAUCCGUCACCACCAUCGUGUUCCUCGUGUUGUGGGCUUCAAAACCCAAUAACUUGUUCCUACAUCUACCAUAGUUGGGUGGUGGGCCCACCACGAGCCACCGCGAUCCACCGUAGACCGACGGUCGAAACUUAGUGUUCGGGGUUUUGAAGUACGUUUUGAGUCUCAGAAAAUCAUCGUUUGACUUGUUGUGGAACCCGAUCACUUUGGAUUUGUAUGGAUUUAAUUGAUUGACUCUUGGUGAGCCGUUUUAAAAUAAGCUAAGGACCUAAGGUGUGGCUUUAGCUGUUGAGCAACUUGUGGAGCACGGACUCAGUAGCAAUGCAAUAAUGGUUUAGAGUUUUCAUAUGGCUGCCUUGAAUUUAAAGUAUUCAUACGUGUAAUAAUUUCUUCUAAUAAGUUUAUAUAAAAGUUUUAAAUUUUUCUGUAUUUCUUCGUAUCAUUUUAUUUAAUUCUUUUGGUCAAGUGCCUUACAUACUCGUAAACCCUAGAAUUACGAGUAUGUGGCAGACGUACCCUACCUUAGGGACGUUACAAUUUCUCUCCCUUCUUUGCUUUCUUCCCCAAAUCUGUUUUGAAACCCUAGAAAUUCAGUGAUCUAAUUUCUUGCUGAAGAUGGAAAUUUUCAAGGGGCUGUUCUAAUUCAAGCAUAAAGGAGUCCAUUGCAAGGUUUGGUAAGUGGUUCCUCUCCCUUUUCUCCUCAGAUUUUUGUGGUAUUUGAGAUUUGAUUGCUUUGAUUGAUUGUUGAGGGUGGAUCCUAUCUGUGGUUUUGGUUUGGGGAUCUUAGUUUAUUUUUUUGAAAGAGUGCAUCCUGUAAGUGUUUGUGAAGAGGAAAAGGGUUCAUUUGUAGGGGAGGUGCUGUCAAAAUUAUGUCUUGUGGGUUGGUGAGAGUGUGGAUAAUGGCACCCAAGAGUAGAGCGGGUAGAAAUAAGGAUAAAGGAAAGGGACAAGCAUCUGCGUCUCAACCAAUGGAGGAUAGUUCUGAGCAUGAGUAUGAUGAGACUAGGUUUAUCAAUUUUAAGGCUCAGGAGCGCUAUGAGAAAUUUGUUAGAAAGCCUUUGAUUCCUGAGCGUGAAGUGGAAUAUCAGUCUGAACCUUUUGCUCAUCAGAUUUUUGAACGGGUUCGGGCAAAUCUUAUGAAUAGGAAAUGGGGAGAUUUUGUGACUAAAUUGGCCCAGGCUAAUGUAUCAUUGGUAUAUGAGUUUUAUGCGAACUUAAGAGAUAAACACAAUGAUACAGUUUUUGUUCGAGGUAAA